rnacentral:rRNA from 1 species
GGACUACCAGGGUAUCUAAUCCUGUUUGCUCCCCGAGCUUUCGAACCUCAGCGUCAGGAACGCCCCAGAAAGUCGCUUUCGCCACUGGUGUUCCUCCGAAUAUCUACGCAUUUCACCGCUACACUCGGAAUUCCACUUUCCUCUGACGUCCUCCAGUCUCCCAGUUAUCAGUCCAUUCCCGGGGUUGAGCCCCGGUCUUUAAGACCAAUCUUAAAAGACCGCCUACGUUCGCUUUACGCCCAAUAAUUCCGGACAACGCUCGCAUCCUACGUAUUACCGCGGCUGCUGGCAC